GAUGAACGCUAGCUACAUGCUUAACACAUGCAAGUCGAGCGGAAACGGCAUUUAGUGCUUGGACUCUUUGGACGCCGACCGGCGCACGGGUGAGUAACGCGCAUCCAACUUUCCUAUGACUACGGGAUAACCUGCCGAAUGGCAGACUAAUACCUUAUGUGCUUCACUGAGGGCGUCAGAUGUGUAGUACAGAUCGAUCGGUUAUGGAUGGGGAUGCGUCUGUUUAGCUUGUUGUCGAGGUAACGGCCCACCAAGGCUACGAUCAGUAGGGGUUCUGAGAGGAAGGUCCCCCAGGUUGGAACAGAGGCACGGGCCAAACACGGACGGGAGGGAGCGGUAAGUGAGAUUAGUGAGUGGACGAGAGCCUGAGCCAGCCACGUAGCGUGAAGGAUGACGGCGCUAUGGAUUGUAAACUGCUUUUGAAUGAAGAUAAGGUCAAUCACGUGUGAGUGUUUGCAGGUACCAGAAGAAUAAGGACCGGCUAAUUCCGUG
rnacentral:rRNA from 1 species